ACGAACGCUGGCGGCAGGCCUAACACAUGCAAGUCGAGCGCCCGUAGCAAUACGGGAGCGGCAGACGGGAUAGUAACACGUGGGAACGUACCCUUCAGUUCGGAACAACCCAGGGAAACUUGGGCUAAUACCGAAUACGUCCGUAAGGAGAAAGAUUUAUCGCUGAAGGAUCGGCCCGCGUCUGAUUAGCUAGUUGGUGAGGUAAAGGCCUACCAAGGCAUCGAUCAGUAGCUGGUCUGAGAGGACGACCAGCCACACUGGAACUGAGACACGGUCCAGACUCCUACGGGAGGCAGCAGUGGGGAAUUUUGGACAAUGGGCGAAAGCCUGAUCCAGCAAUGCCGCGUGAGUGAAGAAGGCCUUCGGGUUGUAAAGCUCUUUUGUCAGGGAAGAAACGGUAUGGGCUAAUAUCCCGUACUAAUGACGGUACCUGAAGAAUAAGCACCGGCUAACUACGUGCCAGCAGCCGCGGUAAUACGUAGGGUGCAAGCGUUAAUCGGAAUUACUGGGCGUAAAGCGUGCGCAGGCGGUUUUGUAAGUUUGUCGUGAAAUCCCCGGGCUCAACCUGGGAAUUGCGAUGAAGACUGCAAGGCUAGAAUCUGGCAGAGGGGGGUAGAAUUCCACGUGUAGCAGUGAAAUGCGUAGAGAUGUGGAGGAACACCGAUGGCGAAGGCAGCCCCCUGGGUCAAGAUUGACGCUCAUGCACGAAAGCGUGGGGAGCAAA
rnacentral:rRNA from 1 species